AGCUUUGCGCAGUGGCGAUAUCGUAACCGAUGAGGUCAAUCCGAGGUGCGAUUAUUGCUAGUUGAAAAUAUAGAAUAGAUAACCUAUUUUUUUCAAAUAAUUUGAAAACUAUUUUUCUUAGAAACUUCAAAUUUGGU